AUUGAACGCUGGCGGCAGGCCUAACACAUGCAAGUCGAGCGGAUGAAGGGAGCUUGCUCCUGGAUUCAGCGGCGGACGGGUGAGUAGUGCCUAGGAAUCUGCCUGGUAGUGGGGGAUAACGUCCGGAAACGGGCGCUAAUACCGCAUACGUCCUGAGGGAGAAAGUGGGGGAUCUUCGGACCUCACGCUAUCAGAUGAGCCUAGGUCGGAUUAGCUAGUUGGUGGGGUAAAGACCUACCAAGGCGACGAUCCGUAACUGGUCUGAGAGGAUGAUCAGUCACACUGGAACUGAGACACGGUCCAGACUCCUACGGGAGGCAGCAGUGGGGAAUAUUGGACAAUGGGCGAAAGCCUGAUCCAGCCAUGCCGCGUGUGUGAAGAAGGUCUUCGGAUUGUAAAGCACUUUAAGUUGGGAGGAAGGGCAGUAAGUUAAUACCUUGCUGUUUUGACGUUACCAACAGAAUAAGCACCGGCUAACUUCGUG
rnacentral:rRNA from 1 species